AUUGAACGCUGGCGGCAGGCCUAACACAUGCAAGUCGAGCGAGUGGCGGACGGGUGAGUAAUGUAUGGGGACUGCCCGAUGGAGGGGGAUAACUACUGGAAACGGUGGCUAAUACCGCAUACUAUCGGAUAGCCCAUAUGGGAUUAGCUAGUAGGUGGGGUAAAGGCUCACCUAGGCGACGAUCCCUAGCUGGUCUGAGAGGAUGAUCAGGCACACGGGGCCUACGGGACGGAGCAGUGUCGUAGGGAGGCAGCGGUGGGGAAUCUUGCACAAUGGUCGCACGCCUGCUGCGGCGGCGCCGCGUGGGGGAUGUCGUCCUUCGGGGUGUGAACUCCUUGCGCCAUCGACGCGGUAGUUGGAGAAGAAGCACCGGCUAACUCCGUGCCAGCAGCCGCGGUAAUUC
rnacentral:rRNA from 1 species